AGAGUUUGAUCCUGGCUCAGAGCGAACGCUGGCGGCAGGCUUAACACAUGCAAGUCGAGCGGGCGUAGCAAUACGUCAGCGGCAGACGGGUGAGUAACGCGUGGGAACGUACCUUUUGGUUCGGAACAACACAGGGAAACUCGUGCUAAUACCGGAUAAGCCCUUACGGGGAAAGAUUUAUCGCCGAAAGAUCGGCCCGCGUCUGAUUAGCUAGUUGGUGUGGUAACGGCGCACCAAGGCGACGAUCAGUAGCUGGUCUGAGAGGAUGAUCAGCCACAUUGGGACUGAGACACGGCCCAAACUCCUACGGGAGGCAGCAGUGGGGAAUAUUGGACAAUGGGCGCAAGCCUGAUCCAGCCAUGCCGCGUGAGUGAUGAAGGCCCUAGGGUUGUAAA
rnacentral:rRNA from 1 species